CCACACUUUAUUGGGAAGCAGAGAGCAAGCAGCACAGUGACCACAGACAAGGCCAUCCAGUAGGCACCCUACAUGUCACACUGGAGAAGACAUGCCAUGUUUUGCCAAUAAAAAUCAACUGGAACAUGGUCUCCCUCAGGGCACCUUCCCAAACCUCCUCCUCAGGGGUUGAAGUUCAGCAUUUUUUGUUUUUGUUUUUGGUACCGGGGAUUGAACUCUGGACCUUGCACUUGCGCAGCUUGUGCCAAAACCACUGAGCUAAAUCCCCAGCCCUCUCAGGGGUUGAGAAAAGUCCCAACCCACUUGCCUGAAGGCAGCUGUGGUUCACUAGAGAUACAGCCCCUCAGGGGUACCUUCCUGAUUCUUAGAAAGAACAUUUUCUUUAGAUUUCUUGAAGUCUUCAUUUGUUACUUUCAUUCUGUGUUCUCUCAAAGCCAUCAGCCCAGCUUCUGUACAGAUUGCCUUGAUGUCAACACCAGAGAGAUCAUCCUUUGCCAUGAUCAGGUCGUCCAGGGUCACAUCAUCGGCCAGUGUCAUCCUGCUUGUGUGAAUCUGAAAGAUGAGCUUCUUAGUCUUUUCAUCAGGCAGGGGGAACUCAAUCUUCCUGUCGAUGCGCCCUGCAGGUACAAAGCUUUCCAUCACACCCCAUCCAGCCCCAGGCCCUGCUCUGCCUCAGAGGCCUCACCCCAUUUCAUUUGAGGACAAGCAAUUUCAAUCACAUGGCAUCCUGUGGGAAUGACAUCAUCCAGCUCUUUAAAAGUGAACAUCCUUUCUGUACUCAGCAAAUGUCUACAUCUGAAUUCACCCCAUUUAAAAGAAAUCCUCUGCCAUGAGAAAUAAAUGAAAGGAAUGGUUCUUGAAUGGCACGUUUAGUGACAAAGGGGACAGAUCUAUUUUUUUCAAAACAUUACAAGAGGUAGCAAGCAUUACUGCUUUUUCUAGUGCUACCUGAAUGCAAAGGAUAAAUCCAAGCUACCAUAUGAAUUAUUCCUUCAAGAAAAAGAAGCAAGUUCUUGAGGCUAAGAAGAGGAAAUUUACUGUUUGAGGGGGAGAAUCAAGGUAGAAGACUGCAAUUAAAGGGUCAAGCUGGACAGGCUCCAGCAUGUUCUUGACUGUUAUCUCAAGGGGGGCUAUUUUUGGUAAAUUAGAAUUCCAAGUUUCACUACAGUGUUAGCCACUUUAUAACACACCCAAAGCAGACUUAAAAUACAAAGAUACAAGAACACAUUAAUUCCCUAUUUGAACCUAAAGCAAGUUUAACCUGGUCUGAUCAGUGCUGGAUCCAGAGUUUCUAUUCGGUUUGUGGCCAUGAUAACUUUCACAUCUUCUUCUAAUGGUUUCAUUUGUUCCUGAUUUCUAAUAAAUUCUUCCUCCAUGAGAAGAUAGUCUUUAAUUCUCUCUAACUUGAGUAGUUUUAAGCGGCACUGAGUGUGAGGUGUCACCAGUGGCAGUUUGCUGGCAGCAUCUGGUCCCUUUGUUUUCUUCUUCUUUUUUCCCACUCUAGUUGGUACAGGAGGUUCAUAUUUCUUUUUCUUGUCCUUGUCAUCCUUCUUACCACCUCCAGGACCAUGACCACCACUCUGACUUUGACCCAUCUUGCCUUGGCCACUCCAGGUGCCUUCCAUUUCUUUCUUAUGCUGGGCAUUCAUGGCUUCCAGCAUGUUUCUGAUCUCAUCUAUUUUCUUACCUGUUUCUGCUCUAGAGCCUCUAAUCAUGUCUUUCACUCUGCUCAUCAUCUCUGUAUUUAUCUGGGAGAUUAUUUCUGCUUUGAAUUUUUCUAGAGCCUCAUGCACCUACUUUGUUACUUCCUGAGCUACCAGUUCAGGGUAUCCAGGUGGUUGAUUAUCAGACUUUUCCACCUCAUUUCCCCCAGAAUUUCCCUUUUGUGGCAUGGAAGCCUGCAUUUGUGCCUUGUUUAAAUGUCUUCUCAUUUUUGUUUUUGGUACUGUCCUUGGUUUAAUUCCUGGGUUAGUACUUUAAAGUUGCUUAUUGUAAGUAUCUUUGUUGAUGUAUUUAGAACCCUUACAGAAUGACUGC
rnacentral:lncRNA from 1 species